AGUGAACGCUGGCGGUAGGCCUAACACAUGCAAGUCGAACGGCAGCACAGUAAGAGCUUGCUCUUACGGGUGGCGAGUGGCGGACGGGUGAGGAAUACAUCGGAAUCUACUUUUUCGUGGGGGAUAACGUAGGGAAACUUACGCUAAUACCGCAUACGACCUACGGGUGAAAGCAGGGGAUCUUCGGACCUUGCGCGAUUGAAUGAGCCGAUGUCGGAUUAGCUAGUUGGCGGGGUAAAGGCCCACCAAGGCGGCGAUCCGUAGCUGGUCUGAGAGGAUGAUCAGCCACACUGGAACUGAGCCACGGUCCAGAGUCCUACGGGAGGCAGCAGUGGGGAAUAUUGGACAAUGGGCGCAAGCCUGAUCCAGCCAUACCGCGUGGGUGAAGAAGGCCUUCGGGUUGUAAAGCCCUUUUGUUGGGAAAGAAAAGCAGCAGGUUAAUACCCCGCUGUUCUGACGGUACCCAAAGAAUAAGCACCGGCUAACUUCGUG
rnacentral:rRNA from 1 species